CCUACGGGUGACAGCAGUGAGGAAUAUUGGUCAAUGGGCGCUAGCCUGAACCAGCCAAGUAGCGUGAAGGAUGACUGCCCUAUGGGUUGUAAACUUCUUUUAUCUGGGAAUAAAGUGCAGUAUGUAUACUGCUUUGCAUGUACCUUAUGAAUAAGGAUAGGAUAACUCCGUGCCAGCAGCCGCGGUAAUACGGAGGAUGCGAGCGGUGUCCGGAUUUAAUGGGUUUAAAGGGAGCGUAAGCGGGUUGUUGAGUCAGUUGUGAAAGUUUGCGGCGCAACCGUAAAAUUGCAGUUGAUACUGGCAUCCUUGAGUACAGUAGAGGUAGGCGGAAUUCGUGGUGUAGCGGUGAAAUGCUUAGAUAUCACGAAGAACUCCGAUUGCGAAGGCAGCCUGCUGGACUGUAACUGACGCUGAGGCUCGAAAGCGUGGGUAUCAAACAGGAUUAGAUACCCGAGUAGUC
rnacentral:rRNA from 1 species